CCUACGGGUGGCAGCAGUGGGGAAUAUUGGACAAUGGGCGAAAGCCUGAUCCAGCCAUGCCGCGUGUGUGAAGAAGGCCUUCGGGUUGUAAAGCACUUUCAGUGGGGAAGAAAGCCUUGGGGCUAAUACCCUCGAGGAAGGACAUCACCCACAGAAGAAGCACCGGCUAACUCCGUGCCAGCAGCCGCGGUAAUACGGAGGGUGCGAGCGUUAAUCGGAAUUACUGGGCGUAAAGCGCGCGUAGGCGGUCUUAUAAGCCGGUUGUGAAAGCCCCGGGCUCAACCUGGGAACGGCAUCCGGAACUGUCAGGCUAGAGUGCAGGAGAGGAAGGUAGAAUUCCCGGUGUAGCGGUGAAAUGCGUAGAGAUCGGGAGGAAUACCAGUGGCGAAGGCGGCCUUCUGGACUGACACUGACGCUGAGGUGCGAAAGCGUGGGUAGCAAACAGGAUUAGAUACCCCAGUAGUC
rnacentral:rRNA from 1 species